rnacentral:rRNA from 1 species
CCUACGGGAGGCAGCAGUAGGGAAUCUUCCACAAUGGGCGAGAGCCUGAUGGAGCAACGCCGCGUGGGUGAAGAAGGUCUUCGGAUCGUAAAACCCUGUUGUUAGAGAAGUAAGUGCGUGAGAGUAACUGUUCACGUUUCGACGGUAUCUAACCAGAAAGCCACGGCUAACUACGUGCCAGCAGCCGCGGUAAUACGUAGGUGGCAAGCGUUAUCCGGAUUUAUUGGGCGUAAAGGGAACGCAGGCGGUUUUUUAAGUCAGAUGUGAAAGUCUUCGGCUUAACCGGAGUAGUGCAUUGGAUACUGGGAGACUUGAGUGCAGAUGAGGUGAGUGGAACUCCAGGUGUAGCGGUGAAAUGCGUAGAUAUAUGGAAGAACCCCAGUGGCGAAAGCGGCUCUCUGGUCUGUAACUGACACUGAGGUUCGAAAGCGUGGGUAGCAAACAGGAUUAGAUACCCGAGUAGUC